ACUACGGGUGGCAGCAGUGAGGAAUAUUGGUCAAUGGCCGGAAGGCUGAACCAGACAAGUCGCGUGAGGGAAUAAGGACCUAUGGGUCGUAAACCUCUUUUGUCAGGGCGCAAAGGCGUCCACGUGUGGACGAGAGGAGAGUACCUGAAGAAAAAGCAUCGGCUAACUCCGUGCCAGCCGCCGCGGUAAUAAGGAGGAUGCGGGUGUUAUCAGGAUUUAUUGGGUUUAGCGAGUGCUGAGGCAGAGUGUCAAGUCAGGGGUACCAUUUCGGGGAUCAACCCCGUCGUGUCGUUGAAACUGACGCCCUUGAGUGAGUGAGAAGUAAGCGGAAUGCGUGGGGUAGCGGUGAAAUGCAUAGAUAUCACGCAGAACGCCGAUUGCGAAGGCAGCUUACCGGCGCUCAACUGACGCUGAGGCACGAAAGUGCGGGUAUCGAACAGGAUUAGAUACCCGAGUAGUC
rnacentral:rRNA from 1 species